AAGACUAUAGACCUGCGGAGUACCUGCGGAGGGAUCAUUAAAGAGUUGCAAGACUCCCAAACCAUUGUGAACGUUACCCACACCGUUGCUUCGGCGGGCGGCCCGGGCCCUGCCCGGCGCCCCCCGGCCCCUCGCGGGCGCCCGCCGGAGGUAAACCAAACUCUUGAAUUGUAUGGCCUCUCUGAGUCUUCUGUACUGAAUAAGUCAAAACUUUCAACAACGGAUCUCUAGAUCGGAAGA
rnacentral:misc_RNA from 1 species